GGACCAUCCUCCAAGGCUAAAUACUCCUGACUGACCGAUAGUGAACCAGUACCGUGAGGGAAAGGCGAAAAGAACCCCGGCGAGGGGAGUGAAAAAGAACCUGAAACCGUGUACGUACAAGCAGUGGGAGCACCCUUUGGGGUGUGACUGCGUACCUUUUGUAUAAUGGGUCAGCGACUUAUAUUCUGUAGCAAGGUUAACCGAAUAGGGGAGCCGGAGGGAAACCGAGUCUUAAUUGGGCGUUAAGUUGCAGGGUAUAGACCCGAAACCCGGUGAUCUAGCCAUGGGCAGGUUGAAGGUUGGGUAACACUAACUGGAGGACCGAACCGACUAAUGUUGAAAAAUUAGCGGAUGACCUGUGGCUGGGGGUGAAAGGCCAAUCAAACCGGGAGAUAGCUGGUUCUCCCCGAAAGCUAUUUAGGUAGCGCCUCGUGAAUUCAUCUCCGGGGGUAGAGCACUGUUUCGGCUAGGGGGCCAUCCCGGCUUACCAACCCGAUGCAAACUGCGAAUACCGGAGAAUGUUAUCACGGGAGACACACGGCGGGUGCUAACGUCCGUCGUGAAGAGGGAAACAACCCAGACCGCCAGCUAAGGUCCCAAAGUCAUGGUUAAGUGGGAAACGAUGUGGGAAGGCCCAGACAGCCAGGAUGUUGGCUUAGAAGCAGCCAUCAUUUAAAGAAAGCGUAAUAGCUCACUGGUCGAGUCGGCCUGCGCGGAAGAUGUAACGGGGCUAAACCAUG
rnacentral:rRNA from 1 species